rnacentral:lncRNA from 1 species
AGCCCCUCAGUUUUCCCAUUGAUGAGAACAAGCCAGACAGCGGACAAAGAAAGAUAUGGUGACUUGAAAGUAGGGAUGACUAAUGAAGUUCAGACCGGAAGUCCUGUGAGGAGAUAGGAUGGCUGGGAUAAGACAGCUAAAAUGUGUUUCUGAAAAGCCACCAAGAAGCCAUGACUGAUUCACUGAGCCAUUCAUCCACCAAUUUCCAGUUGUGAGAAAAGAUAUUUAGAAGAUCAUAAACAGGCUACAUCUGGUAAUAUUUUCAAAGGCAC